GGGUCUCAUGUCUAGUAUAGCACUUUAUACUGUGAAACUGCGAAUGGCUCAUUAAAUCAGUUAUCGUUUAUUUGAUAGUACCUUACUACAUGGAUACCUGUGGUAAUUCUAGAGCUAAUACAUGCUAAAAACCCCGACUUCGGAAGGGGUGUAUUUAUUAGAUAAAAAACCAAUGCCCUUCGGGGCUCCUUGGUGAUUCAUAAUAACUUAACGAAUCGCAUGGCCUUGCGCCGGCGAUGGUUCAUUCAAAUUUCUGCCCUAUCAACUUUCGAUGGUAGGAUAGUGGCCUACCAUGGUGGCAACGGGUAACGGGGAAUUAGGGUUCGAUUCCGGAGAGGGAGCCUGAGAAACGGCUACCACAUCCAAGGAAGGCAGCAGGCGCGCAAAUUACCCAAUCCCGACACGGGGAGGUAGUGACAAUAAAUACUGAUACGGGGCUCUUUCGGGUCUCGUAAUUGGAAUGAGUACAAUCUAAAUCCCUUAACGAGGAACAAUUGGAGGGCAAGUCUGGUGCCAGCAGCCGCGGUAAUUCCAGCUCCAAUAGCGUAUAUUAAAGUUGUUGCAGUUAAAAAGCUCGUAGUUGAACCUUGGGUCUGGCUGGCCGGUCCGCCUCACCGCGAGUACUGGUCCGGCUGGACCUUUCCUUCUGGGGAAUCCCAUGGCCUUCACUGGCUGUGGGGGGAACCAGGACUUUUACUGUGAAAAAAUUAGAGUGUUCAAAGCAGGCCUUUGCUCGAAUACAUUAGCAUGGAAUAAUAGAAUAGGACGUGCGGUUCUAUUUUGUUGGUUUCUAGGACCGCCGUAAUGAUUAAUAGGGAUAGUCGGGGGCGUCAGUAUUCAGCUGUCAGAAGUGAAAUUCUUGGAUUUGCUGAAGACUAACUACUGCGAAAGCAUUCGCCAAGGAUGUUUUCAUUAAUCAGGGAACGAAAGUUAGGGGAUCGAAGACAAUCAGAUACCGUCGUAAUCUUAACCAUAAACUAUGCCGACUAAGGAUCGGGCGGGGUUUCAUUGUUGACCCGCUCGGGACCUUACAAGAAAUCAAAAUUUUUUGGGUUUUGGGGGGAAAAUUGGGCGCCAAGGGUGAAACUUUAAAAAAAAUGGAGGGAAAGGGGCCCCCCAGGGGUGGGGAGCCGCGGGGG
rnacentral:rRNA from 1 species